ACUACGAUUCAAAGGCGAUAUCAGAUUUCACCACCACCGAUUGAAGUUAAGCCUUGCUGGUUUUGCUCAAAUACAACACCUGUUGAAGCUAUUGUGUUACUUUUCUUCGACCAACAGUCCAGAUCUUUCACUCUCAGAAGAUCUCAACCAUCAUCGAUCUACUCUCUCUGUUUUGCGCUUCUUCUUUUGGGAUCACGAUCGACUAAAUUUCUCAUUCACGGUUGACUGAAUCUCUCUCUGUUCAGGUUUUCAGUGCAACUCAUGUUUUAUUCAAACCUUUUUUGUGGUUUGAGUAACUACAAGGAAAGUCUUCAUAUAUAAUUGCAGUGGAGCAUUUUGCAACUAGGCAUGCUUGUGCAUUUUUAGGCAUUUUGUUCUUCUUUUAUUUUUUUUUUAAAUGAAUGUAUAGUUUAAAUGCAUGUAACAAUGAACUUAUGAUAUCUCUAUUUUAGAACAGUUGAUGUAAUUUAUAUAAUUAUCUCUUAUUUGAAUAUGAGGAUACAAGGAUAUUGGAUUCAAUUUCUUUUAGACAUAAAUUUUGUAUUUGUAUGGUGGCCAUGAAUGAAUGAAAAUUGUUUUGUAGUUUUCACAACCAAUUAGAUUUAUGAAUUUUUGUUCUCUGAAAAUUGUUUUGUAGUUUUUCCAACCAAGCAGAUUUUUAGACUCAAAAAUCUGAAAACUAUUUUCUGUUCUGAUUCUCUAAAAAUUAUUCUCAUAGUUACAUUUCAAGCAAGGCCUAAGAUUUGUAUGUUCUUACACAUUGCUAUUUGGAUGCGUAAGCUCUAUUUAUAUUAAUUACAAUUUAAAAUUAAUUUUAAUGUCAUCCAAUACUAGUUUGCAACUUUUUCU